rnacentral:rRNA from 1 species
GAGUUUGAUCCUGGCUCAGGAUGAACGCUGGCGGCGUGCUUAACACAUGCAAGUCGAACGGGAAUUACUUUAUUGAAACUUCGGUCGAUUUAAUUUAAUUCUAGUGGCGGACGGGUGAGUAACGCGUGGGUAACCUGCCUUAUACAGGGGGAUAACAGUCAGAAAUGGCUGCUAAUACCGCAUAAGAUUGUAGCUUCGCAUGGAGCAGCAAUCAAAGGAGCAAUCCGCUGAAAGAUGGACUCGCGUCCGAUUAGAUAGUUGGCGGGGUAACGGCCCACCAAGUCGACGAUCGGUAGCCGGACUGAGAGGUUGAUCGGCCACAUUGGGACUGAGACACGGCCCAGACUCCUACGGGAGGCAGCAGUGAGGGAUAUUGGGCAAUGGGGGAAACCCUGACCCAGCAACGCCGCGUGAGGGAUGACGGUUUUCGGAUUGUAAACCUCUGUCCUCUGUGAAGAUAGUGACGGUAGCAGAGGAGGAAGCUCCGGCUAACUACGUGCCAGCAGCCGCGGUAAUAC